rnacentral:rRNA from 1 species
CCGAGUGCUUGCACUCAAUUGGAAAGAGGAGUGGCGGACGGGUGAGUAACACGUGGGUAACCUACCCAUCAGAGGGGGAUAACACUUGGAAACAGGUGCUAAUACCGCAUAACAGUUUAUGCCGCAUGGCAUAAGAGUGAAAGGCGCUUUCGGGUGUCGCUGAUGGAUGGACCCGCGGUGCAUUAGCUAGUUGGUGAGGUAACGGCUCACCAAGGCCACGAUGCAUAGCCGACCUGAGAGGGUGAUCGGCCACACUGGGACUGAGACACGGCCCAGACUCCUACGGGAGGCAGCAGUAGGGAAUCUUCGGCAAUGGACGAAAGUCUGACCGAGCAACGCCGCGUGAGUGAAGAAGGUUUUCGGAUCGUAAAACUCUGUUGUUAGAGAAGAACAAGGACGUUAGUAACUGAACGUCCCCUGACGGUAUCUAACCAGAAAGCCACGGCUAACUACGUGCCAGCAGCCGCGGUAAUACGUAGGUGGCAAGCGUUGUCCGGAUUUAUUGGGCGUAAAGCGAGCGCAGGCGGUUUCUUAAGUCUGAUGUGAAAGCCCCCGGCUCAACCGGGGAGGGUCAUUGGAAACUGGGAGACUUGAGUGCAGAAGAGGAGAGUGGAA